rnacentral:lncRNA from 1 species
AGGACCCAAGGGGAUUGCAGAAGUUCUAUGAAAUGGCAGGGUGUAUGGCAAAUCCCGACUAGCUUAGAAGAGACAGGCAAGAGGAGCUUAAAAGUGAGUUUGGAUAGUGAUUUGGGUGGAUAUUGGGGUAACUUAUGAUGGUGGCAGGACUUUGAGUGUGAAAACCAGGAAAGCUGACCAAUUAUCUGCAAAGAUGAUCCACUCCCAAAGGGA